rfam:Pelodiscus sinensis unplaced genomic scaffold scaffold370, whole genome shotgun sequence.
UCCUGAAGCAUUGUACCCAGGGUCUGCUGUUCAGACAUUGCACCUGGAGCUCGCUUUCCAAUAAAAGCUCCCU